rnacentral:rRNA from 1 species
AUACGGAGGAUCCGAGCGUUAUCCAGAUUUAUUGGGUUUAAAGGGUGCGCAGGCGGGAGAUUAAGUCGGCGGUGAAAUUUUGCAGCUCAACUGUAAAAGUGCCUUCGAUACUGGUUUCCUUGAGUGUGGAUGAAGUAGGCGGAAUUUGUGGGGUAGCGGUGAAAUGCUUAGAUAUCACGAGGAACUCCGAUUGCGCAGGCAGCUUACUAAACCACUACUGACGCUCAGGCACGAAGGCGUGGGGAUCAAACAGGAUUAGAUACCCUGGUAGUCCACGCAGUAAACGAUGAUUACUGGCUGUUUGCGAUACAAUGUAAGCGGCUGAGCGAAAGCGUUAAGUAAUCCACCUGGGGAGUACGUUCGCAAGAAUGAAACUCAAAGGAAUUGACGGGG